UUCGAAGAAAAUUGAAAUAAUAUACCCUGUCUUAUUUUAUGGGAAACACGGCAGUUACUUAAGGUUUUAUUUGAUCUUUCGAUUCUAUAAUCAGUUUUUACUCAUUUGUUUUUAUCAAUUAUUUGAUUGUCUGUUAUGCAAAAUAAAGUUAUACUUGUACUAGUUGUCAAUGUUUUCCAAAGCUUUUUUUGAGGUGGAAGGUCAGGGAAAACAUAUACAGUAUACGGUAUUUUAUAUUAUCGGUACUGUGAUAUAAAGUUACAGGAAGCGAAAAUUAUGACGUAGGUAAAUAUAAUAGUGCCAAGUCAUUGUCAAGAGAAUAUUGUAUCGUGAUAAUCGAUAUUCGUUUUGGCCAGGCAGCACUAACUAGUACGGUAGCUUCGUUGUCAAUCGAUUCCUCAUAACUAGAAGGCUUUAGAUUAGGGGUAUCAGAUUUUGAGUACUGUACAGUUCCUACCUAUUCAAACCUCUUCUUUGAUAAAUUUAAGAAUUACGUAUGCUAUCCUACUGUACCGGUACCGUGAAAGACUUCCCGAGCACAACUGAACGAAACGUGUGAAACAGCCCUUAGAGGCAGAAUGUGAAACCACAAUAAUAUAACGGUACCGGUACUGAAAUACAGUCUGACAUUAAUCUGUUAAUGCUGUAAUGGCUGAUUAGGUAUGGUACCGGUACUGAAUUAACUUAGUCGAAACACCCUUUGCUGCUUCGCCUUUUCUUUGUUUGAAUUCUUUUUAUUUUGUUAUUACAACCGUUUUUGAUUAGCUGCAGUAUUCAAAAACAGAAUUGAAGAAGAUAUGAUGGACCAUUUUUUAACAGAAGCAACUUUACUAGUUUGAAACAAAAUGGUAAUCGAGUAAGCACUCUCAAAAUAAGCUUCAAAAAUCAAUUAUGCAAUGUAAAGUGUGGUAUUUAAGCAUAAACGCUGUAUAGACAUUCAGAAACAAUACUUCCUAUUUACAGAUCAGUAUUACUGUAUUAUCAAGUUAAAGAAGUGAAAUGGUUUGCAUACCCUGUAUUGUGAUCCCUUUUUUAUUAUGGGUUUAUCACAAGUAUCUUCAACCGUUCCUGUAUCCAAUAAUAUCAAAAUUCUGGACUCCAAAAUCAUUGGAAUCGAACUCAGAAAAAUCGGGUACUACCGGUAUGAAGUGCCCAGUGACUGGAAAAACUGAAGAAUCACCCCAUGAUAAGAAUAGUACAGAAGAAACGCGAACUAUAGCUGCAGGUGGUGAUAAGAAAACAGACUGAUGAGCUCACGUCAACUCCAAUAGUGCAAUACUGUACCUUUUAUCAUUAGUUCUUAAUGUUUCUUGGUUUUAAUGUAAUUUAGUUGCACAUAUUUUUUUAUCGUAAUCGUCCCAGGAAUACCCAAAAUUGAAGUUGGAACCUAUCCAUAUGCUAGUUGAGUGAAGGAGUAGGUUUUGGGGAUUCCUAUACGUCUCUAUUUCAUUUUAGAAUAACGGUGUAUACUGUAGUUUUAACGGUGUUUUAUUGCAAAUAAAAUCAAGUCCGAGGAAAA